GACGAACGCUGGCGGCGUGCUUAACACAUGCAAGUCGAACGAUGAAGCCCAGCUUGCUGGGUGGAUUAGUGGCGAACGGGUGAGUAACACGUGAGUAACCUGCCCCUGACUCUGGGAUAAGCGUUGGAAACGACGUCUAAUACUGGAUAUGACUACUGGUCGCAUGGCCUGGUGGUGGAAAGAUCUCUUGGUUGUGGAGGGACUCGCGGCCUAUCAGCUUGUUGGUGAGGUAAUGGCUCACCAAGGCGACGACGGGUAGCCGGCCUGAGAGGGUGACCGGCCACACUGGGACUGAGACACGGCCCAGACUCCUACGGGAGGCAGCAGUGGGGAAUAUUGCACAAUGGGCGAAAGCCUGAUGCAGCAACGCGGCGUGAGGGAUGACGGCCUUCGGGUUGUAAACCUCUUUUAGUAGGGAAGAAGCGAAAGUGACGGUACCUGCAGAAAAAGCACCGGCUAACUACGUGCCAGCCGCCGCAGUAA
rnacentral:rRNA from 1 species